AUUGAACGCUGGCGGCAGGCCUAACACAUGCAAGUCGAACGGUAACAGGAAGAAGCUUGCUUCUUUGCUGACGAGUGGCGGACGGGUGAGUAAUGUCUGGGAAACUGCCUGAUGGAGGGGGAUAACUACUGGAAACGGUAGCUAAUACCGCAUAGCGUCGCAAGACCAAAGAGGGGGACCUUCGGGCCUCUUGCCAUCGGAUGUGCCCAGAUGGGAUUAGCUAGUUGGUGGGGUAACGGCUCACCAAGGCGACGAUCCCUAGCUGGUCUGAGAGGAUGACCAGCCACACUGGAACUGAGACACGGUCCAGACUCCUACGGGAGGCGGCAGUGGGGAAUAUCGCACAAUGGGCGCAAGCCUGAUGCAGCCAUGCCGCGUGUAUGAAGAAGGCCUUCGGGUUGUAAAGUACUUUCAGCGGGGAGGAAGGGAGUAAAGUUAAUACCUUUGCUCAUUGACGUUACCCGCAGAAGAAGCACCGGCUAACUCCGUGCCAGCCGCCGCGGUAA
rnacentral:rRNA from 1 species